rnacentral:rRNA from 1 species
CCUACGGGAGGCAGCAGUGAGGAAUAUUGGGCAAUGGGCGAAAGCCUGACCCAGCAACGCCGCGUGAGGGAUGAAGGCCUUCGGGUUGUAAACCUCUUUUCUGGGAGAAGAGACAAGGACGGUAUCCCAGGAAUAAGUCUCGGCUAACUACGUGCCAGCAGCCGCGGUAAUACGUAGGAGGCUAGCGUUAUCCGGAUUCACUGGGCGUAAAGCGCACGCAGGCGGUCAUGUAAGUCAGACGUGAAAGCUCCUGGCUCAACUGGGAGAGGUCGUUUGAUACUGCAUGGCUUGAGGUUGGGAGAGGGAAGCGGAAUUCCCGGUGUAGUGGUGGAAUGCGUAGAUAUCGGGAGGAACACCAGUGGCGAAAGCGGCUUCCUGGCCCAUACCUGACGCUCAGGUGCGAAAGCGUGGGGAGCGAACGGGAUUAGAUACCCCGGUAGUCCACGCUGUAAACGAUGCGAACUAGGUGUUGGUAGUAUUAAUCCUAUCAGUGCCGUAGCUAACGCGAUAGUUCGCCGCCUGGGGACUACGGCCGCAAGGCUAAAACUCAAAGGAAUUGACGG